AAGGACUUAGCUUAAUUAAAGUGUUUGAUUUGCGUUCAGUAGAUGUAAGAUAAAGUCUUGCAGUCCUUG
rnacentral:tRNA from 1 species